CGGGCGGAAGGCAUCACUUUGUCCGGACUCUAAUUCAAAUUGUAUUCAUCCGAUCUUCACCAAACUUGGUCAGCAGUUGCAUCUAGUUGAUAUCUAGGCCAAGUUCGAAUAUGGGUCAUGCCGGGUCAAAAACUAGGUCAUAGGGUCAAUAAGUGCAUUUUCAAAGGGGCCACUUUGUCUGGACUCUAUUUCAAAUUGUAUUCAUCCGAUCUUCACCAAACUUGGUCAGCAGUUGCAUCUAGUUGAUAUAUAGGCCAAGUUCGAAUAUGGGUCAUGCCGGGUCAAAAACUAGGUCAUAGGGUCAAUUAGUGCAUUUUCAACGGCGCCACUUUGUCCGGACUCUAAUUCAAAUUGUAUUCAUCCGAUCUUCACCAAAUUUGGUCAGAAGUUGUGUCUAGAUGAUAUGUAGGUCAAGUUCAAAUAUGGGUCAUGCCGGGUCAAAAACUAGGUCAC